rnacentral:misc_RNA from 1 species
UUAUGAACCAUUUUUUUUUUUUUUUUUUUUUCUAAAUCUCUACAGGUCUCUUUUUGUUGGGGUUUUUCACAUGUUGAACCAGAUAUCCUCAACAUUCCAUAAAUUGUAGGAUGUAUCCCCACCGUCCACCCAAAAUUGGUUGUUGUUAUGCUCCAUGGCUGGGAAAUCCGAUACCUGGUUAAAAUAACCAGAUGGACUAAUCAUUGACUCCGAGUAGCCAACUUGCCCAGAUUGAAAAUAAUCCGGAUUAACCGAGAUGCCAUAAUAAUCAUUAGGCGAAACCUGAUUUCUCAAUGAGUCUGAUGAUGCAGCCGUGCUCGAAGUUUCUGGGGUAGUGUAAGUACUAGGAGUAACAUGUGCAACCCCAAACUCACUCCCGACAUGAGCUACGGCCCAUUGCCCGCUGCCCAUGUCGGUGUUGGUGCUGUUGAUUAGGUGAUGAUGAUGAGUGGCCUCUGUGAUGGUGCUGUUGAUUAGGUGAUGGUGAUGAGUGGCCUCUGUGAUGGUGCCAUCUAUGGUGGGUACAACUGCGGUGGCAGUGCUAGUGCUAGUGGCUGUGGUAUUGGCUGCUUGAAUUCUCUCCAUUAAUCUCGGCAUCCAUAGGUAUCGCAUGGUGUCUUUGAAUUGCUUGCUAUUCACGUCACAUUUAAGCUGCUUAGCGUG